rnacentral:rRNA from 1 species
AUGACAAUUGACGCCGUCGAUCUGUUUAAUUGUGUUACUUUAGCUGGUUGGUGCUUCGGUCGCGGCCAAGAAUUGGCGUGGAUGCGCGACAGCCCAAAGAUUCCAUCAUCUUUCCGGACAUUUCGAUCCUCAGUUAAAUUUGUUCUCCCAAUUGUUGCUCGAAUAUACCUCAUCUCCAUUAACGUUUCCCCUUGUGGUGAGUCCUGUCCUGUGUGUGUGUGUGUGUGUGUGUGUGUGUGUGGUCUUUUUGGCCUGCCAUUACGAGUACCACAGGCACAAACUUCCCCAUUGUCUUCCCUACCAAACGCUUUGCCGACUUCGGUAGUUAGCUGUAACCAGAGAUGA